CCUACGGGAGGCAGCAGUGGGGAAUCUUGCGCAAUGGGCGAAAGCCUGACGCAGCAACGCCGCGUGCGGGAUGAAGGCCUUCGGGUUGUAAACCGCUUUCAGCAGGGACGAAAAUGACGGUACCUGCAGAAGAAGCCCCGGCUAACUACGUGCCAGCAGCCGCGGUAAUACGUAGGGGGCAAGCGUUGUCCGGAUUUAUUGGGCGUAAAGAGCUCGUAGGCGGUUCCGUAAGUCGAGUGUGAAAAAAUCUGGGCUCAACCCAGUGGAGCACUCGAUACUGCGGUGACUAGAGUACGGUAGAGGAGUGUGGAAUUCCUGGUGUAGCGGUGAAAUGCGCAGAUAUCAGGAGGAACACCAACGGCGAAGGCAGCACUCUGGGCCGGUACUGACGCUGAGGAGCGAAAGCGUGGGGAGCAAACAGGAUUAGAUACCCUGGUAGUCCACGCCGUAAACGUUGGGCACUAGGUGUGGGAAGGAAUCAACCCUUUCCGUGCCGUAGCUAACGCAUUAAGUGCCCCGCCUGGGGAGGUACGGCCGCGAGACGUAAACGUACAANAGAGUAGACGGCGUGAGAGNGCGAGGACGACGACGAGGGAGAGG
rnacentral:rRNA from 1 species